GUAGAGGCUGACGCGCAGCACUGCUGUUUCUGAAUACACUCUGACUUCUCUCUGGGUACACGCAGGAUGUGGCUGCGUCUUUCCCCUCUCCCGUCUCUCGUCUCUCAUCUGGCGUCCUCGGGGCUGUCUGCUUCAUCCUGUCUGCUCUGCUGGGUGGGGCUCACUCUGGCAGACCCAGCCUGGUCCUCCGCCCCGGCCACCUGCAGUGCUGACUUCUGGUCCUGGGUCUGCUUUGAAGGCAUGUCUGUCUUUGUCUUUCCAGCUCUUUUUGCAAAGUUCUCAAGGGCAAGGAGGGCGACUUUGGCUCCAACGCCUCAAGAUAGCGUCCUGCUCCGCACAGGCAUCUCAGGUCCUGUCCAGGAGAACCUGGCCACCAAAGGGUCGUCUUCUGCUGCUGACCCCCGUCAAAUCCCAUCAUGCCCACAGCCCUGUGCCCCCGAGUCUUGGCUCCGAAGGAAAGUGAGGAGCCCAGGAAAAUGAGGAGCCCACCGGGAGAGAACCCUAGCCCCCAAGGGGAGCUUCCCAGCCCCGAGU
rnacentral:lncRNA from 1 species